UACGUAGGGUGCAAGCGUUAAUCGGAAUUACUGGGCGUAAAGCGUGCGCAGGCGGUUGUGCAAGACAGAUGUGAAAUCCCCGGGCUCAACCUGGGAACUGCAUUUGUGACUGCACGGCUAGAGUGUGUCAGAGGGGGGUAGAAUUCCACGUGUAGCAGUGAAAUGCGUAGAGAUGUGGAGGAAUACCGAUGGCGAAGGCAGCCCCCUGGGCCAAUACUGACGCUCAUGCACGAAAGCGUGGGGAGCAAACAGG
rnacentral:rRNA from 1 species